rnacentral:rRNA from 1 species
AGUAACGACGUGGCAGGGUCGUGGGUAAUACGUAGGGGGUAAGGGGUUACCGGAUUUACUGGGGGUAAAUGGAGCGAAGACGGAAUGAAAAGUCGGGAGGGAAAGCCCGCGGCGCAAGCGCGGGACUGCUUUGGAAACUGCCAUGCUGGAGUGUUGGAAGGGUAAGUGGAAUUCCUGGUGUAGCGGUGAAAUGCGUAGAUAUCAGGAGGAACACCGGUGGCGAAGGCGACUUACUGGACAAUAACUGACGUUGAGGCUCGAGAGCGUGGGUAGCAAACAGGAUUAGAUACCCCUGUAGUC